rnacentral:rRNA from 1 species
GCGGCUGAUGUCUGAUUAGCUAGUUGGUGGGGUAAAGGCUUACCAAGGCAACGAUCAGUAGCUGGUCUGAGAGGACGACCAGCCACACUGGGACUGAGACACGGCCCAGACUCCUACGGGAGGCAGCAGUGGGGAAUUUUGGACAAUGGGCGAAAGCCUGAUCCAGCCAUGCCGCGUGAGUGAAGAAGGCCUUCGGGUUGUAAAGCUCUUUUAGUCGGAAAGAAAGAGUCAUAGUAAAUAGCUAUGAUUUAUGACGGUACCGACAGAAAAAGCACCGGCUAACUACGUGCCAGCAGCCGCGGUAAUACGUAGGGUGCGAGCGUUAAUCGGAAUUACUGGGCGUAAAGGGUGCGCAGCGGNCUUGUAAGUCAGAUGUGAAAGCCCNGGGCUUAACCUGGGAAUU